AACGAACGCUGGCGGCGUGCCUAACACAUGCAAGUCGAACGGAAGUAAGAAGCUUGCUUUUUACUUUAGUGGCGCACGGGUGAGUAACGCGUAGAUAAUCUGCCUGGAGAUCUGGGAUAACACUUCGAAAGGGGUGCUAAUACCGGAUAAGCCCACGGAGUCCUUGGAUUCUGCGGGAAAAGGGGGGGACCUUUUAGGCCUUCUGUCUUCAGAUGAGUCUGCGUACCAUUAGCUAGUUGGUAGGGUAAAGGCCUACCAAGGCGACGAUGGUUAGCUGGUCUGAGAGGAUGAUCAGCCACACUGGAACUGAGACACGGUCCAGACUCCUACGGGAGGCAGCAGUGGGGAAUUUUGCGCAAUGGGGGAAACCCUGACGCAGCAACGCCGCGUGAGUGAUGAAGGCCCUUGGGUCGUAAAGCUCUGACAGAGGGAAAGAAAUGUGGGUGGCUAAUAUCCAUUCCACUUGACGGUACCCUCAAAGGAAGCACCGGCUAACUCCGUGCCAGCAGCCGCAGUAACAC
rnacentral:rRNA from 1 species